rnacentral:lncRNA from 1 species
CUAUUACAGUCCAAAUUAUUACAAUAUUCCACAGUCCAAAUUACAUGACCCAAAUUUAAAACCUAAACCAAAUACAAUGGCCCAUUAACCAUGACCCAAAAAUAGGCCCAAUAAGCCCAAUGUCUAAAUCGAGAAACCCUAGCAGCUUUCCACUUGUGCCAUAGCAGCCCCCGCAACCUCCAGGCACCGUACAACGCCUCCAGCAACCACGUCAAUAGCCCUCGUACGCCAGCACAGUCUCCGUACGAUGCCAACGCAUCCCGUACCUGCAAGAAGGACAAACACAGCAGCAAAUACAAACAAAAAUGGCAGAACAGCAAAUAGAAGGGAACGAAAAUUGUAUUUGGAAUUUAUUUUUCCUUUUUCUUUUUUCUCUUCGGCUAUAAAAGCGAAGCUGCGAAUCAGUUGUAAAAGAGGAGGAUACACAUAUUGAAUGCAAAGAGCAGAGGUGAUUUCAUACUUUUCUUUCCGAUUUUUUUAUUUUCUUCUUAGUUUACUCAUUGUUAAUGCAUACAACUAAAAACCGAUGAAAGCCAUAAAUAUUUCUGCUCUGCGGAUAUAAUGGCGAGAGGUCAAGUAGCAGUAUUUACUUUACAAAUCUGUUUCCAUUUUUUUUAAAAAAAAUAAUAACGUGAGAUUCGAGCAUUUCAUUCAAACAAAGAAGGAGAGGAGAAAGAUACUUACUAAACCCUUUUAAAACUUGUUCAAGUGUCUUCAACGGGGAAAACGGGUGCUUUUUGCAUGCAGGUGAUUCGGCUGCUAAAUAGAAACCCAAGAAACUUAGUUCCCAGGCUGUUUUUUUCCGUAUAUUACCAGUUUUAGUCCCUAGAUGUUUUUGCGCGUUGGAUGUUCGUCCUUUUAUCAUUACUAUUUUAGUUUUUAAUUACCCCAUGUAUUUUAGUUUAAUUUUAAUCGAGUCCUUUCAUCUUAUACCUCUUUUUAUUUUAUUUUAUUUGUGCAUUUUAAUUAAUCUUGAUAAUUGCUUCUUCAUUCUUGUAGAUUCGUUUUUGUUUUAAUAUUAUGACCGUAUUUCGCACUCUUUAAAUAUUUAUUUCUUUUAUGUUAUUAUACAUAUACAUAUUGUUAUAAAAAAGUUAAUGUAUUUGCAUGUAUAUAAUAAUUCUUGGCUCUGUUCAUGUAUUUUGGAAUAUAUAUUUUUAUUAUUCUAACACGUUUUCUACAUAUAUUUUACGUAAUGUUUAAAUUAUUUUUAUGCUUAUUUAUAUUAGUAUACAUAUUAUAUAUAUAUAUAUAUAUAUAUAUAUAUUUCUAAACCUAUACAUUUUACAUUUACAUUUUCUUUACACAAAAGCGUGUUUUUUAAUCUAUUGUUUAAUUUAUUAUAAAAUUAAUUUAGCCCUAUGAAUAUUAUCUUUUCUAUGUAAUUUUACAUGUAAUUAUUUUCAAAAGUUAUAUAUACAUAUUGAUAUUAUUACUUUAAUAGGUUUUCCUACUUACAACAUUUUUGCGAUAUGAGUUAUCAAGUAUUUUCUUUAUGUAUGUAUAUAGAAAAAUUUUAGAAACCUCAUUUUUUUUUUGCAAUCACAAAAUUAUUAUUUUUGGAUGUUCCUUUGUAUUAAAUUACUUUGUGUUUUAUAUAGUCCCUUAUUUAAACGUUUUGAUAUAAACGCAUGUAUAUACUUUUUAGACUAAGUUAAAGUUUUUUAUUAAUCUAAUAAUUAUUUUUAAAGCUAUCUAUAUGUACAUAUGUUUUAUGAACAUACUUUGUGUAUUAUAUUUUCGCCAUAUGUCUUCAUUAUUCCUUUUUAUAUUAGACAUAUUAUUUAAAAUCGUCAUGUAGUUUGUCAACUUUAAAAUAUGUUUGUGUUUAAAUUUUUUUACUUGCAACUUGAUUCAAAUUUCCAUUCUUUAAUAUCCAUUUCAAAAUAUAUACACAUAUCCCUAUUUUUUUAAGCUUGUCAACCUAUAUAUAUAUCUAGCUUAUUAAUCUUAUACCAUUUUGAUUUCUACAUUUCAUUUGCUUCACGCAUAUCUUGUUGUUUUCUUUAUAUCUUAUGGCAUGAAUAUAUAUAAUCAUUGCAUGGUAUUCGUCUUAAUAAUUUGUUAAUUGUUCUUCGUAUGCGAUUGAGAUUUGAUUAUGAUCUUUAGAUUAAUUAUAUUUAAUUGCAUAUUUUGCUAGUCGAUUAAUAUUAUUAUCCAUCAAGCAUCGUACCAUUAUACGUGCCUUUUACCCUAUAUCAUCGUUUCACUUAAUUUUUGAAAUGUGGUUCUAUAAAACCCAAAUUUUAUGAUUAAUUUCGUCUUAUUUCAAAUCGAGUUAAUACGUCUUAAGCUAGCUUUAUAAUCAUUCAAAAAUUCUUCAAAACGAAGACGAGAUUCGAUGUUUGGCAAUUCGCGGAAUCGUGCCCUAACGUGUUGGGUUGCAAUAUCGUGUUUGCUCGAAAUAAUCGAAUAUCACUUCAAAAUUUCACUCAUGUCUUUUAAAAUUCUUCAAAACGAAGACGAGAUUCGAUAUUUAGCAAUUCGCGGAAUCUUGCCCUAACGUGUUGGGUUGCAAUUUCGCAUUUGCUCAAAGUAAUCGAGUAUCCCUUCAAAAUUUCCUUUCAUAUCUUCUAAAAAUAAUUUAAAACGAAGGCAAUAUUUGGCGUUUGACAAUUCGAGAAUCAUGCCCUAUUGUGAUGGGUUGUGAUUUCUUGUUUGCUCAAAACGAUCGAACAUUCCUUUACAUUCUCACUCAUGUUUAUAAAAAAAACUUAAAAACGAAGACGAUGUUCAAUAUUUCGCAAUUUGAGAAUCGUGCCCUAGCGUGCUGGGUUACGCUUUUUCAUUGGUUCGAAACAAUUGAACAUCCCUUUGGAAUUUCACUCACAUUUCCUAAAAUCUUUCAAAAUGAAGGCGAUGUUCGAUGUUUGGCGAUUUGAGAAUCGAGCCCUAUCGUGUUGGGUUGCGCUUUCUUAUUUGUCCAAAAUAAUCGAAUAUCUCCUCGAAAUUUUACACGUAUUUUAUAAGGUAAGGCAAUGGUCAAUGUUUGGAAAUUUGAGGAAUCGUGCCCUACUGUGCUGGGUUUCGAUUUUUCGUUGGACUAAAUAGUUUAGCAUCCUUUUGUGAUUUUCGAAUCAUAAAUUUUCAGACGUCGAAAUAAGAAGAUUUUUGGUAAUCAACUCGGGUUACUAAAAAAAGAACCACAUUUCAAAAACAUAUUUAAAUUUUAGACACAAGGACAGUAUUUAAUCGAUUCGGUACCAAUUUUGGGCGUAGUGAGGGUGCUAAUCCUUCCUCAUACGUAAUCGACUCCCGAACCCAUUUUCACAAAAGUUCGUUGACCAAAAUCGUUGUUUUAGAAAACUAAAAUGUUUUAUUAAAAUAACCAAAUUCUUAGGUGAUCUGAUCGCACCAAAACAAAAGGAUCGGUGGCGACUCCAUAUUUCUAUUUUCCAAAAAGUCGAUUCCCCUUUUUUUAUUAAAUUUAAAAUUUUUAAAAUCGAAGGAUGGUUUCGACAGCUUGGUGACUCCGCUGGGGAUGAACUUGAGAGUCGAGCCAUAAGAAUCGAUUAUUUACUGUCCUUUUGUCAAAAACCGAAAAUGCCUUUUAAAAAAAAUCAUGUAUCUUUCGAUUGCAUUUGAUUGUAUGAUUGUUUUGGUGCGGGUUUUGUAGAAUAGCAUUGUAUUUCAUUGCAUGACCACUGUGGUCACACCUUCUAAAUGGGAGUAAGAAGCUACGCUUUCGUGAGGUUUUCACCUUUGCAUGGGCUAGUGGAUUGCUUCCGGGGUACAUCCGUACCUAUGAUUUCGUGAGAUUUUCAUCUCCGCAUGGUCAUAGGGAAAUGUAUCCCCCCGAACCGAACUCGAUCUAUAUGAGUCUAUAAUUGGUGAGGAUUGAGGAAUCUGCUGGUUCGGGUACCCCUCUUCCUAGAACUAAACCACAUAUAGUGAACCUUAGGAGCUAUCCUUGGGUGGAGCCUCGUUGAGCCUUAGUACUUACCCGUAUAUGCGUUAUGUGCUUGCAUUCUAUUGCUAUUAUUUGAUACUAACCGGUGGUUUGUUUUGAUUAUCUUUUUUACAUGACAUUGCAUACUAAAUGAGGCGUUAAUCCGUAUUCAAUUACUAAGUUAGAAAAUUUGACAUGGAGAAUGAAUUUUUUAGUAACGUCGAGGAUAAUACGGUCGUUCGUGCAUGGUCGGAGAGGCUACAAUCAGAGAGAGGGGAUAUCUUGGCAGAAGGGCAUGUGUCGGAGCUGCAGGAUUUCACUCGCGUCAAUGUAGUACAGAAUGAGCUGCAAGAGUUAAGAGACAUUUGGGCUAGUUGGGAUGAAGGGAUCAAGCAGUUGUUUUACUAAAACUAUGGUGACAUAUCCUACCUGCUAGACAUUAGAGUAGAUAAGCAUUUGUUCCGAGCCUUGGUGCAGUUUUGGAAUUCUGCGUACAAGUGUUUCACUUUUCGAGAAGUGGAUUUGGUACCUACCAUGGAGUAAUACACUACGCUGCUUAGGUGUCCAAAGAUUCAGGUCUGGAAGACUUAUACCCGGGUUUUUAGUAAUCAGGUUUUCGUGAAGAAACUGAUGGGCAUUUCUGGGAUGAGCGAGCCUUGGGUCACUACUCGGAUUCAGCAAAAAGGAGAUAACAAAUGUAUCCCUUGAAAGAAUUUGCGAGAUUUGAUCUUGACUCAUCCAGACGAAAGAAAGAGGGUCGAUAUAUUUGCCUUAAGCAUCUACAGAUUAGUGAUCUUUCCUAAGGCUUUGAGGCACGUGGACGAGGUGGUCAUCGACUUGUUCGAUCGUCUUGAAAAGGGAAUCACACCGGUACCGGUAAUAUUGGCAGAAACGUUUAGAUCUUUGAGCUCAUGUCAGAAGACAGGCUAGGGGCGAUUUAUUAGAUGUGCUCAACUAUUGAUGGUAUGAUUUCAUGGGCACUUUUGGAAGGUAGACAAGGUUUCCUAUCGAGUCUUUUCCGAAGGUUAUUCCCCUUUGAAAGAAGCGGCAGCUAUACAGAGGAGAGAGGAUAUCUCGGAGGAGAAGUGGAUGGAUAUCAUUCAAAACCUCAAGGAUAGGGAUAUCGAGUGGAGAGCUUAUUGGAUGGUUCUGACGAGAUCAUGUACCGAUGUGGUAACUUUGAUUGGGUACCGUUGUUAGGAAUUUAGGGAGCUACCGGGUAUACUCCAUUGAUAGCCUUGAGGCAAUAUAAGUCGAGGCAGUUUGUACCCACGACCUAUGGGCUUGCUUAGAGUGAAUUCUCGUUUAAAGGUGCUCAUUAUAAGAAGAGAGUUCGAGAAUUAUUAGAUGCUUGGAAGCAGACUUGUUGGAUGAAGAGGUUAGCCGUCGGUUCCAUGGUAACACCCAAGUACAGCGAGUGGUUUAAGAAAAAGAUUAAUGAUAAUAUUCCUAGGCCAAGCUUGGAGAAUGCUCGACCUAUCGGGGAACAAUUACAAGUCACCCCAUCAGGAUUGGAGAUUAUAAGGCAAGAUUUUGAGAAGAAGAGUUUGGAGCUUGGGAAGAAGAUCGAACAAUUGGAGGAAGAGAAGAUGCACCUAAGGUUAGAGGCUGAUGUCCAGAGGUCAAAGGCUGAGAAGUGGAGAAAAGGAAAAACUAAGGCCGAAGAGGAUCUAGACAGCUUGAAGACUGACUAUAAGAAGCUGCGCUUAUCUAUGAGGACUGCGGGUUCAAGUAAGACUUCCGAACAAUGGUACCAUAAAAUUCGAGAAUAAAAGGCUAAUACAUACCGGUGGGAAAAGAAAUUUUGAGAAACUCAGGCACGAAACAAAGAUUUGGAGAAAAGUCUGUCGGAAAGCAGAAAUGAGCGAGGGGAAUUAAGGCUAGAGUGGCAGAACUCGAGAAGUCUCUACAUCAGUACCGAAAUCGCAACACUGCAUUAGAAUUGAGGGCGAGCUUGAGCAAGAUAGAAGAAAUGAAAGGAAGAAUAGAAGAGUUAGAGGCGUCACUGCAAAACUGUGAGAUGCAGAUCCAAUUUUUCGAGGCAAAUGAGGAUCGUUGGAAAGGGCAGCUUCACCAUGCGCAAGACCAAGUCAGAAACAGAGAUUACCUUAUGGGGGAAGCCAUAACCCAGAUUCGAGAGGUAGCGGACUACUUGCAAACUUUAGCGGUUCAGGCGGACACACUGAGCGUGAAGUAUGAGUUAGAGUCAGAGCACAGACAAGAGUUGGCCUCGUUGCUUAGAAAAAUUAGGACUUUAAGUGUUAGAGCGAAAUUUUAUUUGUAACUUGACUUUUUGUAAAAGAUUUUAUUUUCAAGUGAAAUUUUCUAAGGGCAGUUGAAUCAAAAUUGAUGCCUCCUUUGCAUUCAUGCAUUUGCAUUACAUCAUAUCAUUAUGCAUUAAAGGCCAUAAGGGUUUUCUAAUUAAUUAAUUAAAAAUUAUUUUAGUAACCUGGAAACCAACAAAAACCAACCAACCACGCACCCCUACGAUACAAGGAAAAAAUCAAUGGAUAAGAGACUCGAGAAAUUGGAGCAGAUGCAAAAAGACAUGCAAGAACAAAUGCAGUCCCAGAUGCAAGAGCAGCUGGCCAGGAUUCAGCGAGAGAUGAAAGAGCAAAUGAUGGAGUUCCAGAGGGAAAUGAUGAGUCAGUUAUCCCAAUUGCUGUUGGGAGGAACGGAUAAGGGAAAGGGCUCCAUGGACAAAAUUGAAUAAACUAACGAAGAUCCUCAAUACCCCAUGGCUUCACUCCGACACAUGUAUCAAUGAAGCCCGAGAUUAACCUACGGAAACCAUCUGUCACGAUCAUGCCCCAGCAAGUUCAGGCCGGAGCUUCAAUACCGAUGAAUUUCCAAAUCGACUCAGGCUCUAACUUUGUCAACAACUCGAACUAUCCGCCUGUUCCCAAUUUGGACGAAAUUGCUGAAGAAGAAAAAGCGAGGAUAGAUUCGCAAAAACAAUUGGAAGAACGAUGUAGAUGGCUUGAGGAGAAAUUCAAAUCCAUGGAGAGCGCGGAUCAUCAUCAAGGGAUUGAUGCCAAGAACCUAAGUUUGGUCCCAAAUUGAGUUCUUCCCCCUAAAUUCAAAAUGCCCGAAUUCGAGAAAUACAAUGGAACAAGUUGCCCCGAGGCUCAUAUCACUAUGCUUUACAGGCGAAUGACAGGAUAUGUUAACAAUGACCAGCUAUUAAUCCACUGCUUUCAAGAUAGUCUGGUCGAGGCAGCGUCUAAGUGGUACAACCAAUUAAGCCGCUCUAAGAUUAACUCGUGGAAGCACCUGGCCCAGGCUUUUAUGAAGCAAUACAAUCAUGUGACAGACAUGACCCCUAAUAGAAUCACUCUCCAAAACAUAGAGAAGAAAUUGAAUGAAAGCUUCAGACAGUACGCGCAAAGGUGGAGAGAAGUGGCCAUACAAGUUCAGCCACCGCUUCUAGAAAAAGAGACGACAAUGCUCUUUAUCAACACCUUGAAAGCCCCUUUUAUCACUCAUAUGUUAGGAAGCGCCACAAAAAGCUUCUCUGACAUAGUGAUGACGGGGGAAAUGAUCGAAAAUACUGUGAGGAGUGGCAAGAUAGAAUCGGGAGAGAGUGCCAAUAAGUCGGCCUCGAGGAAAAGAGACAAUGAAGUGAACAAUACGAGCACAUCCAACAAAGGUCAGUCCAAGUCAUUCACCGUAAAUCAACCCAAGACGGUGACCACCAAUCAGCAAAGCUCUAUAAGACAAGAACCAACGUGAGGGAGAACACAGAAAGGCCACAAUUUACCCUUAUACCCAUGACGUAUAGGAAAUUGUAUCAGAACCUGUUCAACGCUCAUGUGGUGUCCCCUUUAUACCUGAAGCCACUGCAGCCCCCAUAUCCCAAAUGGUAUGACACAAACGCCCAAUGUGAAUACCACACGGGAAUCACCGAGCACUCUAUCAAAAACUGCGUUGCGUUGAAAAAAUUAGUCGAAAGACUCAUUAAGAUGGGGAUCGUGAGAUUUGACGACCCAGCCACACCCAAUGUAGCAGGAAACCCACUCCCCAAUCAUACCGACCAAGGAGUGAAUGGGAUAAGUGAAGGAAAGAACAAGAAAAUCAAGAAUGAGGUGGCAGAAGUCAGGACCCCAUUGAGGCAGGUAUGGAAGGAGAUGGCCAAGAGAGGAUUGAUUGCGUUGGAUUCGAGGGACGAAUCUGAAGAAGAGAGGAACUGCUGCGAGUUCCACGAUGAGGAGGGGCAUGAAAUCCAAGAGUGUGUGGAAUUCAGAGCUCUAGUGCAGAACAUGAUAGAUAAUAAGGAAAUGGAGUUUUAUGAAGAGAUAGAAGACCCCGUAGAGGGAGAUAUAUGUGCAUCAGAAGGAGAACCGACGGCACAGAAUGAAACAGCUAACUAUCCUGUAUUUAUCAUAUCGAGACCCAAAAAUAAUGAAGCAAGAGUACAAAUGCCACCGAGAGUCAUAAUCCAAAGACCUGCAGUCUUCCCCUACAAAGACAGCAAAAAGGUCCCAUGGAAUUAUGAUUGUAAUGUAAUGAUUCCAGGGAAGGAAAGCCUCGUGGAUGCUUCAAAAGAGGGUCAAGACAAGGGCUCUUAUACACGUAGCGGGAGACGUUACAAUGUAGCAAAUGAGGAGGUACAACCCGUAAAAGGAAAAACCCCAAUAGCCGAGGAAAUAAAAGAAAAAGCAACCAAGCCUGUUAACGAGCCAGUUAACAAAGAGGAGGCCAAUGAGUUUUUAAAAUUCCUAAAACAUAGCAAAUACAGCGUGGUGGAACAACUACGUAAACAACCAGCCCGUAUCUCGGUGCUAGCCUUACUUCUAAGCUCAGAAGUUCAUCGCAGCACGCUAAUGAAGGUCUUGAAUGAAACAUACGUUGCCAAUGAUAUCUCUGUUAACAAGCUAAACCGUUAGGUUAGCAACAUAAGUGCCGACAAUUAUAUUUUCUUUAAUGACGAUGAGAUACCACCCGGUGGCAUGAGGUCGACUAAACCUCUGCAUAUCACCACACGCUAUAAAGGAUAUACGCUGCCGGGCGUACUGAUUGACAAUGGUUCAGCCUUGAGCGUCUUGCCCUUGACUACACUUAACAGACUACCUAUAGGCAGCUCUCACAUGAAGGAGUGCCAGAACAUCGUGAAGGCAUUCGAUGGCACGGAGAGAAAGGUGAUGGGCAGAAUCGAGGUACCUCUUCAGAUCGGGCCAAACACAUAUGAGGUGGAUUUCCUCGUAAUGGAUAUCAAGCCCUCAUACAAUUACUUGUUGAGGAGGCCCUGGAUACAUUCAGCUGAGGCAGUGUCUUCCUCGUUGCAUCAAAAAUUGAAGCUGGUAUCGGAGGGGACGUUGAUAACGAUUAAGGCUGAAGAGGAUAUUAUUGCAACUGUGAGCAAUAAUGCACUCUAUUUGGAGACAGAUGACGAAGCAAUCGAAUGCUCAUUUCAAUAUUUGGAAUUUGUUAAUGCGACGUUCAUCGCUAAGGGAAGCAAAAUUCUGGUGUCGAAAUUGUCCAAAAUCACGAGGAUGAGCCUCUAGUUGACGAUUGGAAAAGGGGCCUUACCCGGAAGGGGACUUGGGAGACAUCUGCAAGGAAGGGUUGAAACGCCAAUGCUGAAGGACAAGAGAGACCGCUUCGGCUUAGGAUUUAAGCCGGAUGCGAAACAAAGGAGAAGGGAACUGGAAAAGAAGCAAGAAAGAAUGAAAGCUCGGUUAACGGGGGAGGAGAUCAAGUGGGAAUCAAUGAUAUUCCCUCAUAUAUUGGAAACAUUUGUGUCCGGGGGAAUCAUUCAUCCCAAGAGAGAUACGCCAAUAACGGGAACUAUAGAAGAAAGGCUGGAUAGCUUGGACAUCAACGUCAUGUACGAAGAGGAGACUGAAAGAGAAAAUUUGUCGGGCAUUUGCCCCUACACACUUGGGAGCGUUCUGGACAACUGGACUGCGGAAGAGAUUCCUGUAGUUUUUAGAACGAAUUCAGAGUAAUAUCCAAAACACACUUAUUGCUCUAGGCCUAGGAGUAAUAAGAAUCUUUUGUGAAAUAGGCCGAUGUUUAAAAAACGUUAUUUCAAUAAAAUGCACAGUUAUUAUCAUUUUUGAACAAAUGUUCUCUCGUCCUUUCAAUUUCAUUCAUAACCAUACAAAUGAUUACUUUCGGAUUCUUUUAUUCUUGAAACAUUCUUCUAAAUAUUCUUUCUGUCGAAACCCUUUUUAUUUUGAAAGCAAUGGGGAUCGAAUUUUGAAAACUCAAAAAUGUGGAGUCGCCACCAACCUUUUGUUUAGGUGUGAUUGGAUCACCUAAUAAAACAUUUUAAAACAAUUCUGGUUCACAAAAAUUUAAAAAUGGGUUCGGGAGUCGGUUACGCAUGAGGAAGGGUUAGCACCCUCAUUACACCCAAAAAUUGGUACCAAAUUGAUUUGAUGCUGUCCUUGUAAAAAAUUUAAAGGAAAAGAUUUUCCGAAGUAUGAUUUUUCUUAAAAAUGUUUGAAUAGCUCAAAUUAGCGGUCAAAAAUCUCUCAUUCCAAGGACAUGCGGUUUCAUACCCAGUACGAUUGGAUAUGAUCCCUUAUACCUUUAAGGUACGAUCGAUUUUCGACUUUUGAAAAAUUCGUGCAUUAAAAUCAUAAAAGGUUAUCUAAAUAUUUGGUUCACCGGAAAAGUCAUACCCAGUACGAUUGAGCACGAUUUUCCGAAUUCUCCAAAUAUUAGAUAUUACCUUAUUUCAGAAUUUUUGAAUAACAGAAAAUUGAAAAUUUGCUCAAAAAAACACGUUUAUUUGCAUAAAAACUUGGGAUACAUGUUCAUUAAAUUGUUAUUACAAAAUACAAAGUUCAAAUCAAAUUAUAUAUGAAAUAUUUAAUACACAAAUCCAUUCAAAAAUUGAUAAUUCUCAUGAUAAAAUUAUGUACAGAAGAAAUUUAUGAAACAUGUAUAUACAAGUAAAAAUUGGAUAUAAUUAUUUGUAAAAAAAUGAAAUUAAUAAUGUAUGAAAGAAACAAAGUAAAUAUAUAAGUAUAUAGGUAACAAAAUAUAUAUAUAAUAAUGCAUAAGGAUAAUAUGGGAGUGUGUACAAUAAAUAAGUGGUAUGAUUAAAAACAUGGUUCCCAAAAGAAAUAUAUUGUACAUAUAAAUAUCUUUAAAAUAGGUUCUACACAUAAAAAAAUAUUUAUAUGAAGAUAUAUGAGAAUAAUAAUAUGUAUCAUAGUAAAAAUAAUUUAAUAUGUGUUAUACAUGUGAAGACACUUUAGAAAUAAUUGUAUAUUUAAGUAACAUGGAAUUAAAAUUUGAAUUAUAAAAUUAACUUAAUUUUACUGUGAGAUAUACAUACAAAGAAAUUUUAGAAAUAGUUGAAUGUUGAAGUAAAAAAAAAUUGAAUUUUAAAAUCAACUUAAUUUUAUUAUAUAUUAUAAGUUUACUAAAACUAAAAAACAGUUAAAUACAAAUUUAUUAGAAGGCUAUAUAUAUAUAAUAAGAACAACAAGGCUUUAAUAUAUGUAGAUUAAACAUAAAUACCAAAUAUACUUAAUAAACAUGUAAAUAUAUGGAUGAAUCUAAGAGAAAUUACAAAAUAUCAUGAAACUAAUAGUAUACACAAACUAAAAUGAAUUAUAUUACAAAUAGUACACCAAUUAUUAAAAUAAUAGAAUAAAAACAGAAAAGAUUACAAAAUUCGGCUAUCAAAAUAAUACAAAAUAUCACAAUCAAUGAUAAAGCAUGUAAAAAAAUGUAUGUGCAGUAAAAUAAAGAAAUAAGACUUAAUUGAAGCAAAAUUGAAACAGGAGAAACAAUUUACAAACAAAAUAAAAUAAAAAUUGGAUCAAUGUGCCAUGCGCACAAACAUGUGGGGGCUGGUAUUGAAAAUAUCCCGUGCUCAAAAUGCAGUAAUGAACCGCGGAUCCAAUUGAAAAACGCACAAACUAGCAGGCCAAUUUUAAAACAUAAAGAAGGCGAAUCGGGCGCAAAUUGAGGGCUCGCGAAAAGAGAAGGAUAUGUUGCACAAAUAGACCAUUUUAGGCACAAAAGGCUCCCCUCACCCUUCUUACACGGUACCGUUUUGUUUAAUAGGCUAUUUAAGCCUUCCUUUUCCCAUUCUCUUCUCCAAAGGCAGCCACUCAUCCCACUCAAAUGUACAGCCCCCAAAAUCAAAAUAUUAGGGUUCAUAUUCACAGCCAUGGAACCACCAUUUUAUUUGGUGGCUAUUGACGCAUGAACCACAACUAGACCUCACCAUCGAAGGCUCCACUCGAGGGAAUCUGGUAAGCCAAUUUAUUUUUCCUUUUUUUUUAAAAAAAUUUCCUAGAUCUGAUAUUGUUUGCUCAAGAAAAAUCAAACCGAAGUUGAGAACCUACAUAUUUAACAACAUCUGACCCUCACCCUUAUUUCAAUAUUUCAGAAAUAUUAGGGAUUUCAUUGGCGUCAUUUUGAGGCAUGAGGUCUAAUACUUUUAGAUUUCCCUUCCAACUUCGAUCUCAACGAAGUGAAAUAGAGGUCUAAAGCCGAUUCACAAGGUAAAACUCGACUUCUUUUUAUUCUAAAAUGCAGAAUGAUGAAGGUAAUUGCAAGGAAAAAAAGAAAUAAAAAAAAUAAGGGAACAAAUUGAAAAAAAACCCGAAAAAUCACCCUUCAAGAAAUUCUUUUCGAAAAUUUUUGUACUCUUCUCUGCGUAUAGUGUGCUUGCGUAAGUAUCUGUUUUGUGUGCGUAAAAAAUUAUGGAUUACAUCACUGGCUUUUAUAUCCAUAUUUCCAAAAUAAAUAAAAUCUAAAAAAUCCUAUUUUCCUAUUGUCAUUUGCUGUGAAAUCUGUUAUUGACUCCUUCUAAUGUCUUCUUUUGCAGUCUCAGUUGUACGGAGAAGAUGAUCCGGGGAUCUCGCGUGGAAAACCAUCCCUUUGGUAUUCUUCCAGUAUAUUCUAGGAGCUACUGCUGAAAUUCUCCUUCUUUUGGGUUCUUUUGGGUUUAGGCUAGGAUAUGGAUUUAUUAGAGUUGGGUUUUAGGACAUGGGUUAUUUUUGUAUUUUGAAAAUUGUAAAUGGACCUUUUUUAGUCUUGGACCUUAUUCAUUUAUUUGGGUUUAUUUAUUUGCAAAUAAAUUAAAUGGGCCCGGGCAAAAUUGGUUGACUACAGCUGCCCCUCUUUGCUCAUUGACGUGUAACGGGAAUAGAGCAAAGACUUCAAAAGAACCGAUUUUGCUUGGUCUUGUUAAUUUUUGGCUUUUUGGCGCUUCUAUUUUCCAAACACCUUUAGGAAGAUGAGGUUGAUAGGUUAAAUCUACUCCAUUAUCGAUACAUGGAAGAUAAGAUUCACCAUUUUCAAUCUACAGUCUGCUUUUUUGCUACCUCAAGAAAAUAAGACUCCCUUUUUAACCUGCUCUCUUGCCACCUCAGAGAAAUAAGGCUAGUGGUAAAAUCUACUCCAUUGCCGAUACAUGAAGAUAGGAUUCACCAUUCUCGAUCUGUUCCGCUGCAACUUCAGUGAGAUAAAAUCUUCAAUUCUCAUUCUGCUUCCUUGCUACCUCAGGAAAAUAAAACUCGUUCUUCAACCUGCUCUCUUACUACGUCAGAGAAAUAAGGCUUGGUGGUAAAAUCUGCUCCAUUGUCGAUACAUGGAAAUAAGAUUCACCAUCUGUAAAGAUCUACUCCGCUGCAAUCUCAGGGAGAUAAAAUCUUCAAUUCUCAGUCUGCUUCUUUGCUACCUCAGGAAGAUAAGACUCAUCUUUCAACUUGCUCUCUUGCUACCUCAGAGAGAUAAGGCUAAUAGCUAAAAUCUGCUCCAUUGCCGAUACAUGGAGAUAAGAUUCGCCAUCCUCAAUCUGUUCCGCAACUACCUAGGGAAAUAAGAUCUGUAAUCUUCGGUCUGCUUCCUUGCUACCUCAGGAAGAUAAUACUACAAUUUUCAACCUGCUCUCUUGCUACCUCAGAGAGAUAAGGUCAAUAGUUAAAAUCUGCUCCAUUGCCGAUACAUGGAGAUAAGAUCUGUAAAUUCCAGUCUGCUUCCUUGCUACCUCAGGGAGAUAAGACUACUAUCGUCAAUCUGCUCCAUUGUCGAUACAUGGAGAUAAGAUUUGUCUUUUCCAAUCUUUAAUCUUCAGUCCGCUUUCUUACUGCCUCAGAAAGAUAAGACUCAUUCUUCAACCUGCCCUCUUGCUACCUCAGAGAGAUAAGGUUGGUGGUAAAAUCUGCUCUAUUGCCGAUACAUGGAGAUAAGAUUCACCAUCUUUGAUCUGCUCCGCUACUGCUUAGGGUGAUAAGAUCUUCAAUCUUUAGUCUGCUCCACUGCAACUUUAGGGAGAUAAGACUUGUAUAUUGAGACUGUUUUACUGCAACUGACAUUUCAACCUGCUCCACUGCAACUUCAGGGAGGUAAGGUUUGCAAUCUUCGAUCUAUUCCUCCGCAACUUCAGGGAUAUAAGAUCUGACUUCACCGAUGUUACUACACCGUUUUCUCGAACCUGUCCUGUAGACUCGAUUUCAUGUAUCAUGUUUAUGCCAAAUAAUUAGGAUGUUAUGAUCAAAAUAAAUCAAAUGCUCCUAACUAGAUGUGAUGCUUAUGUCAACUAAUUAGAAUGCUAUGAUCAAAAUGAAUCAAAUGCACCUAACUAGAUGUGAUGCUUAUGUCAAAUAAUUAGGAUGUUAUGAUCAAAAUGAAUCAAAUGCACCUAACUAGAUGUGAUGCUUAUGUCAAAUAAUUAGGAUGCUAUGAUCAAAAUGAAUCAAAUGCACCUAACUAGAUGUGAUGCUUAUGUCAAAUAAUUAGGAUGUUGUGAUUAAAAUGAAUCAAAUGCACCUAAUUAGAUGUGAUGAAUGAUAUAUGAUUGCAAAAAAUGAAAAUGAUCUUUUUUUUAAUGAUCUUUUCUUUUUUCUUUUUCUUGGAAAAAAAUGCUUAAGGCAUCCUUGCUUGUUAUUCACCAGAGCCUUAUCACUGACUUAUUAUGCUGCUAUCUUGUUCGGCGGGUAUUCUUGACAGAAAACGCAAAGAAACAAUCACAUUCUGCUCAGCAAGCUUGCCCCGCUGUUAUUUCAGAGUCCCUUACACUUUAGUCUUCUGGGACAUAAAAUUUGAACUUCCCACUGUAACCUCAGGGGAAUAAUCAUUUGAUUUCUUCUAUCCAUCCUGCUAUAACUCAGAGGUAUAGGAUCUUCAAUUAAUUUGAUCUGUUACACCAUUCCCUGGGUAUAAUGAACAGAUGUAUAUGCCUGAUAUCUGUAUAAAUACAGAAUACCAUUUUCUUUCAAGAAUAACCCCAUUGCUCAUUCUUUGCCGGGAUUAUAACACCAAUUAAUAUCAUUGACAGAAAAUCCAAGGAGAUAAUCUCAUUUUAGGCUUUAAAUAUUUUCAACCCUUAAGCUUGGUGAGUUUUAAACAAUGGUCCUAUUUCAGGCUCCUGUAUUAUUUAAAAACUCCCUAAAGUAAUAUGCGAAACUUCCUUUAUGAAAGUAUUAUUAGUCCAAAAAUCGUUAUUUCAAUGCAAAAUGCUUGAAAAAGAUCAUAACCAUGGACAAGAAAGGAAUUAAUUGAAAACAUAGCUUGAAACAAACAAGCAAAUGCAACCAAGAAAGAAAUCUUUUAGGACGUGACCUGAAAAGAACAAGGUAAUCAAAGAUAACAAAAAAUGGGUAAAAAUGGAAAGCUAGGUGCCCCAGAUAUCGCAGCUUGAUCUUCUCUGUACCAACUUCUUGAGGACCAUUCUGAGCUCAAUCUGUGUUUAUGGGAUCUGGAGUAUUUGUCAAUGCCCCAAGACGUAACAUUCUUCUUUUAUUGUUAAUUCAGACCUAGCAAGACUAUUGUAUGCCCCAUUUUAAUCCAAAUCUGAGUCACCCUUUUCGGGUUUUCAACUCAAACCCCCUUUGGUCUCAAAGUGCCCUUUGCGGGUUUUCACUUUGGCCUCUCCUUUUUCUUUCUUUUUCAAUUUCUUUGAUUGAUUCUUUCUUUCUUUUUUUGAUUUUUUCUUUUUAUUUAUCUUUUUUAUUCUGAUUUUUUUUAAGGUCUCAAGGCGCCCUUUGCGGGUUUUCACCUUGGCCUCUCCUAUAGAACACUCUUUGACUGCAUUUUGAAUUCCCCGAACUGGGCAAAUCCUUUCGAUCAAAAACAGGCCUUCUUUACAUAAGGUCCCUUUUAGUUUGGCAUAUUUCUUCCUUUAAAGUCCUUUUGUAUAGGAAGGAUCUUCUUCAAUAAUAAACUCCCCUUAUGGAAUUCUCGAGGAUAAACCUGCAUCAUCCGAUUGCGAUGGCUAUCCUUUAAAUUUGACUGACCAUAUCAGGAUUGAACCCAUUCUAAUUCAUCUAACUUUAGUUGUGCCAAGACUCGAAGAAAAAGAACCUCGUCUUCAAAAACUGUUUCAGUCCUAUAAAUCAAUGUGUUGCCCCGGUAAAGGUUUCGGCCUACGUUCAAUAAACAUAGAGGGUAAAUGAUAACUUCUUUAUGCCAAUCCUUACAAGACUCAGUCAUUUUUCAUUAUGACUUUUGUUCUAUUAUUUGCUUUUCCUUUUUUCUAUUUUUGAACUUUUGUUUUUCUUUUUGGAUGCCUUUGCUGCACUGUGAUAUAUUGUUUGAUCUUUGAACAGAUUGCAUACUUUUGACAUUGGGCAGUUGUAUUUGAAAGUAAUCCUUUCUGACAUUACUUAUUAGCAACCUUUUUGUUUUUUUUGUUUUUUUUUGUUUUUUUUGUUUUUGGAAUUUGAGGACUAUUAGUCUUGUAAUAUUGACAUAUGAAGCGACCUUCACCCUCUUCAUGAAGUAAUCAAUGAUUGCUAAGAUAAAUCGAUGUAUAUUAGACGAGAAUGGCCUGAUAACAUCCUUGCCCCACAUAGAGAAAGUCUGUGAAGAAAUGAAUAAGACACAUGAAUCUUGUCUCACUAAAUACAACCCAACUAAUGCGAUCCCCUUCCAUGGUGAAUCAACAGUACCCAAACCUCAUGAUUAACGUGGCUACCAUAAAACCAUCUACAUGUGUCCUUCUGACGCCAUUUAGACAUUUUGUAUUAUCCACAGAUCUUAGUAUCCCAGGUAUAUCUUGACAUGAUCAUGCGAAAACAUCUUUGAAUUCUUAAAGUAACUCAAAGAUAAUUCAUUUUGUCCCUGUGGUGACUCAGGUUUCAAUCUUUGUCCCUUGUUCACAAUGUCCAUUGACCCUUCGUAAAGUAGGAUCUUUUUUCAUCUUGUUCUACCGUCCUUAAAAAAUCAGGAAAUAAGUCACAAUCUCUGUCAUCUUCAAAGUCCUGAAAUCCGAUUAAACACCUAUCUCACCCCAAAAGGGAGUCAGUUACAGCGUUGCUCAUGUCAUUGAUAUCUGGGGACCUAUAGUAGGUACAAAGGCAAAUUCUAAGGAUAUUUAUUUGUAUGGUAUGAUCGUGAAUGAAGAAUGAAAGCAUAUUUAAAAAGUAAAUAGUCCAAAGAACAAAAGAAUAUGUAAAGAAUGAGAGAAUAUUUAAAAAAGUAUGCAUUUUAUUGAACUAAAAAUUUUGGACACAAGCCUAUUUCACAAAAGGAUUCUUAUUGCCCCUAGGCUUAAGGAAACAAGAGUGUUUUGAAUAUUACUCUGGACUAGCUUUUAAAAAUACAGGGAUCUCUACCACAGUCCCUUUGCUCAAAACACCCCCAAGUACAUAAGGGCUUGGAAACCUUUAUUCCUUGGACCUCUCUUUGGAUAUGUCAUUCAAAUUCUCUUUGAUAAUUGGUGGUUAUAACCUUUGGCUGGCCUAUGUUGACCAAUUUGGAAGGCAUGCUCAUGAUGUUCACUUCAUUUUCCUUGUUUCCCGGAGUUGACCCUUUGGCGCUUUCUCCCAUAUCUAUUUUCCCAUUUCUUAUCGCACCUUCAAUCAUCUCACCGGACAUUACUAUAUCUAAAAAGCUCAGAGUAGCACUUCCCAACAUAUGAUUAAUGAAUGGGGCUUCCAGAGUAUUGAUGAAAAGUAUCGCAGUCUCCUUCUCUAAAAGAGGCGGUUGGACUUGUGUUGCUACCUCUCUCCAUCUUUGGGCAUAUUGCCUAAAGCUCUCAUUUUGCUUCUUUUCCAUGCUUUGCAAGGUAAUUCUGUCAGGUGCCAUGUCUGUUAUGUGACUAUACUGCUUCAUGAAGGCUUGUGCUAAGUCUUUCCAUGGUUUGAUUUUAGCACGACUCAAUUGAUUGUACCAUUUAGCUGCUGACCCGAUCAGACUGUCCUGGAAGCAAUGAAUUAAUAAUUGGUCGUUAUUAAUAUAUCCUGUCAUCCUUCGACAGAACAUUGUGAUGUGAACUUCAGGAAAACUAGUCCCAUUGUACUUUUCAAACUCUGGAGUUUUAAAUUUUAGCGGAAGUACCAGAUCGGGAACCAAACUUAGAUCUUUAGCGUCAAUCCCACAAUAGAAGUCAACAUUCUCCAUUGCUUUUAAUUUUUCCUCCAACCACCUAUACCGAUCCUCAAGUUGUCUUGGCAAUUCCCUCUCUGUUUUUUUCUAUUUUAUCUAGAUCAGGAACUUCAAGAUUAGUGGGGUUGCCCCCCGGAUUGGAACCUGAACCUAUCGGGUAAUCUACCAGUGCCGAGUUACCAGCCUGAUAUUGCUGAGUUCUGAUAAUAGGUACACCUUGCGGACCUGUCUGAACAUUUGUCGGGGUGAAACUUGGAGGGUAGAGAGGCUUUUUAUUGUCCCUCCCAGUAUUGAUCAUGGAACUUUUCUUUUCUUCAAGCCCCUUUUUCAGCAAUUGAGACAAUUGGUUCAACAUAUUCCUUUGAGACUCCAGGAUCAGAUCUCUCAUAUCUUGCCUAAUCUUCGCCAGUUGCUAUUGCAUCUGUAUUUGUAAUUGGUCUUGCAUCUCUCUUUGAAGUUGUUCAAGUCUUUGCAAUCUUUUGUCCAUAUCUUUUGUCUUAGCACGGGUACCGUAAUGACGCUUGGUUGGUAAGUUUUUAUUGGUUCCCAGAUUAACUGAAAUGAUUUCAACCAAUUAGGGACCCCUUUUAUGAAAAUUUAAUGCAAAUGAUAAAAUGAUGCAAUGUAAUGCAAAUGCAUGGGAUGGGUGCAAAAGAAAGGGAAGUGUUGAUUUUCAAUUUAAUUCCAUUAGAACAACUUUUCUAGAAAACAAAUCCCUUUACAUAAAACGGAUUACACAUACGACCUUGCUUUCAUAUUCCAAGCGAAGACACCGAUCCCUUUUCUUCGUGAAAUCCAAAUCUCGCAAACCUCUAAUAAAUGCCGCAUCUAGGUCUUCUUUGCUUGAUCCAGGCUAUGACUCAUUAUCCUCACUAUGUUGAUUAGCUCCAUUAAGAAAAUCAAGAUACGAUGGCUCUUGAACAAUCUUUAUUAGCUUGAAUCUUCAGGUAAAAACUUGUUUUUCUCCAUGAACUGGCAGCAUUCUUCCGUCAAUUCAGACAACUGUAUUAUAAUCCGCUUUAUCAGGAAAUUCAUUUUCUUAUGACAAACUGUUCUAUUUAGUAAUCAAAUAUGAAUCAACACCUCCUUUCUAUGAUGAUGUAAUGCAAUGCAGUUAUAAACAAAACAAAAACAAAACUCGUUAGUACAGGAGAAAUAAAUAACAAAUAAAAGACCUAUUCGGGUGACCACUAAAUUUGGGCAAGGUUCUACCUAAGGUGAACUCUCAAGGUUCGCUAUAUGUAGCUCGAUUCUAGAGAAAGGGUACCUGAACCAGCAGAUUCCUCAAUUCUCACCCAUUAUAGGCUCAUAUGAAUCGAGUUUGAUUCAGGGGAAUACAUUUCCCUAUGACCAUGCGGAGAUGAAAAUCUCACGAAAUCAUAGGUACGGAUAUAUCCCGGAAGCAAUCCACUAGCCCGUACGGAGGUGAAAACCUCACGAAAGCAUAGUUUAUUACUCCCACUUAACAGGUAUAAUCACAGCGGUCAUGCAAUACAAUGCCAUAUUAUUCUACAAGACUCAAACCAAAACAAUUAUGCAAACAGAUGCAAUUUAAAGGAAUCGUGAUCUUCAAAACAAAUUUUCAAUUCUUUGACAAAAGGACAGCAAAUAAUCAAUUUUAUGGCCUGACUCUCUUUGUUCAGUCCCCAGCGGAGUCGCCAAGCUGUCGAAACCCUUUUAUUUUGAAAGCAAUGGGGAUCGAAUUUUGAAAACUCAAAAAUGUGGAGUCGCCACCAACCUUUUGUUUAGGUGUGAUUGGAUCACCUAAUAAAACAUUUUAAAACAAUUCUGGUUCACAAAAAUUUAAAAAUGGGUUCGGGAGUCGGUUACGCAUGAGAAAGGGUUAGCACCCUCAUUACGCCCAAAAAUUGGUACCAAAUUGAUUUGAUGCUGUCCUUGUAAAAAAUUUAAAGGAAAAGAUUUUCCGAAGUAUGAUUUUUCUUAAAAAUGUUUGAAGAACUCAAAUUAGCGGUCAAAAAUCUCUCGUUCCAAGGACAUGCGGUUUCAUACCCAGUACGAUUGGAUAUGAUCCCUUAUACCUUUAAGGUACGAUCGAUUUUCGACUUUUGAAAAAUUCGUGCAUUAAAAUCAUAAAAGGUUAUCUAAAUAUUUGGUUCACCGGAAAAGUCAUACCCAGUACAAUUGAGCACGAUUUUCUGAAUUCUCCAAAUAUUAGAUAUUACCUUAUUUCAGAAUUUUUGAAUAACAGAAAAUUGAAAAUUUGCUCAAAAAAACACGUUUAUUUGCAUAAAAACUUGGGAUACAUGUUCAUUAAAUUGUUAUUACAAAAUACAAAGUUCAAAUCAAAUUAUAUAUGAAAUAUUUAAUACACAAAUCCAUUCAAAAAUUGAUAAUUCUCAUGAUAAAAUUAUGUACAGAAGAAAUUUAUGAAACAUGUAUAUACAAGUAAAAAUUGGAUAUAAUUAUUUGUAAAAAAAUGAAAUUAAUAAUGUAUGAAAGAAACAAAGUAAAUAUAUAAGUAUAUAGGUAACAAAAUAUAUAUAUAAUAAUGCAUAAGGAUAAUAUGGGAGUGUGUACAAUAAAUAAGUGGUAUGAUUAAAAACAUGGUUCCCAAAAGAAAUAUAUUGUACAUAUAAAUAUCUUUAAAAUAGGUUCUACACAUAAAAAAAUAUUUAUAUGAAGAUAUAUGAGAAUAAUAAUAUGUAUCAUAGUAAAAAUAAUUUAAUAUGUGUUAUACAUGUGAAGACACUUUAGAAAUAAUUGUAUAUUUAAGUAACAUGGAAUUAAAAUUUGAAUUAUAAAAUUAACUUAAUUUUACUGUGAGAUAUACAUACAAAGAAAUUUUAGAAAUAGUUGAAUGUUGAAGUAAAAAAAAAUUGAAUUUUAAAAUCAACUUAAUUUUAUUAUAUAUUAUAAGUUUACUAAAACUAAAAAACAGUUAAAUACAAAUUUAUUAGAAGGCUAUAUAUAUAUAAUAAGAACAACAAGGCUUUAAUAUAUGUAGAUUAAACAUAAAUACCAAAUAUACUUAAUAAACAUGUAAAUAUAUGGAUGAAUCUAAGAGAAAUUACAAAAUAUCAUGAAACUAAUAGUAUACACAAACUAAAAUGAAUUAUAUUACAAAUAGUACACCAAUUAUUAAAAUAAUAGAAUAAAAACAGAAAAGAUUACAAAAUUCGGCUAUCAAAAUAAUACAAAAUAUCACAAUCAAUGAUAAAGCAUGUAAAAAAAUGUAUGUGCAGUAAAAUAAAGAAAUAAGACUUAAUUGAAGCAAAAUUGAAACAGGAGAAACAAUUUACAAACAAAAUAAAAUAAAAAUUGGAUCAAUGUGCCAUGCGCACAAACAUGUGGGGGCUGGUAUUGAAAAUAUCCCGUGCUCAAAAUGCAGUAAUGAACCGCGGAUCCAAUUGAAAAACGCACAAACUAGCAGGCCAAUUUUAAAACAUAAAGAAGGCGAAUCGGGCGCAAAUUGAGGGCUCGCGAAAAGGGAAGGAUAUGUUGCACAAAUAGACCAUUUUAGGCACAAAAGGCUCCCCUCACCCUUCUUACACGGUACCGUUUUGUUUAAUAGGCUAUUUAAGCCUUCCUUUUCCCAUUCUCUUCUCCAAAGGCAGCCACUCAUCCCACUCAAAUGUACAGCCCCCAAAAUCAAAAUAUUAGGGUUCAUAUUCACAGCCAUGGAACCACCAUUUUAUUUGGUGGCUAUUGACGCAUGAACCACAACUAGACCUCACCAUCGAAGGCUCCACUCGAGGGAAUCUGGUAAGCCAAUUUAUUUUUCCUUUUUUUUUAAAAAAAUUUCCUAGAUCUGAUAUUGUUUGCUCAAGAAAAAUCAAACCGAAGUUGAGAACCUACAUAUUUAACAACAUCUGACCCUCACCCUUAUUUCAAUAUUUCAGAAAUAUUAGGGAUUUCAUUGGCGUCAUUUUGAGGCAUGAGGUCUAAUACUUUUUAGAUUUCCCUUCCAACUUCGAUCUCAACGAAGUGAAAUAGAGGUCUAAAGCCGAUUCACAAGGUAAAACUCGACUUCUUUUUAUUCUAAAAUGCAGAAUGAUGAAGGUAAUUGCAAGGAAAAAAAGAAAUAAAAAAAAUAAGGGAACAAAUUGAAAAAAAACCCGAAAAAUCACCCUUCAAGAAAUUCUUUUCGAAAAUUUUUGUACUCUUGUCUGCGUAUAGUGUGCUUGCGUAAGUAUCUGUUUUAUGUGCGUAAAAAAUUAUGGAUUACAUCACUGGCUUUUAUAUCCAUAUUUCCAAAAUAAAUAAAAUCUAAAAAAUCAUAUUUUCCUACUGUCAUUUGCUGUGAAAUCUGUUAUUGACUCCUUCUAGUGUCUUCUUUUGCAGUCUCAGUUGUACGGAGAAGAUGAUCCGGGGAUCUCGCGUGGAAAACCAUCCCUUUGGUAUUCUUCUAGUAUAUUCUAGGAGCUGCUGCUGAAAUUCUCCUUCUUUUGGGUUCUUUUGGGUUUAGGCUAGGAUAUGGAUUUAUUAGAGUUGGGUUUUAGGACAUGGGUUAUUUUUGUAUUUUGAAAAUUGUAAAUGGACCUUUUUUAGUCUUGGACCUUAUUCAUUUAUUUGGGUUUAUUUAUUUGCAUAUAAAUUAAAUGGGCCCGGGCAAAAUUGGUUGACUACACUUUCAUUCGUCAUUCAUAAUCAUACCACACAUAUAAAUGUUUCGAAUUCUUUUGAUUCUUUGUAUCUGCCUUCAUCUUCAUAACAGGUCCCCAGAUAUUAACGACACGAGUGACAUUGCUAGUGACUCAGAAUUUCCUUUCGAGUGAGAUGUGUGUAUGGAUGAUUCUCAGGAUUUUGAAGAUGACCAAGGCUGUAACCUAUCUCCUGAUUUGUUGAGGAUGGUAGAACAAGACGAGAAACAAAUCCUGUCUCACAAAGAAUCAGUUGAAAUCGUGAGCUUAGGAGAAGGAUAAAAGGUGAAGAUUGGAACAUGUAUCACUACGGAUAUGAAGCGAGACCUCAUUGAAUUACUUUAAGAAUUCAAAGAUGUCUUCGCAUGGUCAUACCAAGAUAUGCCCGGGUUGGACACUGACAUCGUGGUACACCGACUCCCCAUAAAGGAAGAAUGUAAGCCAGUUCAGCAAAAACUCCGAAGAAUGAUGCCCGAUGUCUUGUUAAAAAUAAAAGAAGAGGUUCGAAAGUAGUUCGACGCUGGAUUCUUGAAGAUGGUAAAAUACUCAGAUUGGGUAGCCAACAUCGUCCCCGUCCCUAAAAAAGAUGGAAAAGUGCGAAUGUGUGUGGACUAAAGAGAUUUGAACAAAGCCAGCCCGAAAGAUAAUUUCCCAUUGCCUCAUAUUAACACCCUAGUGGACAAUACGGAAGGACACUCACUAUUUUCAUUCAUGGACGGUUUUUUCGGAUAUAAUCAGAUCAAGAUAGAUCCUAAAGAUAUAGAGAAAACCACAUUUGUAACCAUGUGGGGCACGUUCUGCUACAAGGUGAUGCCAUUUGGACUGAAGAAUGCAGGGGCAACUUAUCAAAGAGCCAUGGUAACCAUUUUUCAUGACAUGAUGCAUAAGGAAAUCAAGGUUUAUGUCGAUGAUAUGAUCGCCAAGUCCCGAACAGAGGAGGAGCACAUACUAGUCCUGAGAAAAUUGUUCUUGAGGUUAAGGAAGUUUCAGCUAAAACUCAACCCCGCCAAAUGUACCUUUGGAGCCAAGUCUGGAAAGUUACUCGGAUUCGUGGUUAGUGAGAAAGGGAUCGAGAUCGAUCUAGACAAAGUUAAAGCCAUACAAGAGCUAUCCCCGCCGCGCACUCAGAAAGAAGUUCGAGGCUUUCUAGGAAGAUUAAAUUACAUCGCUCGGUUCAUUUCACAACUAACUGAGAAAUGUGACCCAGUUUUUCGCCUCCUCAAGAAACACAACCCAGGUGAAUGGGAUGAAGAAUGUCAAAAGGCUUUCAACAAGGUCAAACAGUACUUAUCCAACGCCCUGGUACUAAUGCCUCCUAACUCUGAUAAGCCGUUGAUACUGUAUUUGGCAGUAUUCGAGAACUCCAUGGGGUGCGUACUGGGUCAGCAUGACGAAUCGGGAAGGAAAGAAAAAGCUAUUUACUAUCUCAUCAAAAAGUUCACGGAAUAUGAGGCAAGGUACCCGCUGAUAGAGAAGUUGUGUUGUGCCCUAAUUUGGACAACCCGAAGACUGAGGCAGUAUAUGUUGUAUCACACCACUUGGCUCAUCUCAAAAUUGGACCCCUUAAAGUACAUGAUGGAGUCAACAACUUUGAAUAGAAGGAUGGCCCGAUGGCAGAUUCUGCUCUCUGAAUUCGACAUAGUUAAUGUGAAUCAGAAGGCAGUAAAAGGGAGUGCAAUAGCAGAUUUUCUGGCUAGUAGAGCUUUGGAAGACUACGAGCCUUUGAACUUCGACUUUCCGAAUGAAGACCUAAUGUGUGUUGCUACCAUUGAAGAAGGUGCUCUGGAAGAACUUCCUUGGAAACUAAACUUUGAUGGGGCAUCAAACGCCGUGGGUAAUGGAAUCGGGGCAGUCUUGGUAUCCUUAAAUGGAGAUCAUUAUCCAUUCACUAGUAAAUUGGAUUUUGAUUGUACGAAUAACAUGGCGAAAUACGAAGCGUGCAUCAUGGGUAUCCGCGCAGCCAUAGAUCGCAAGAUUAAAGUGCUAGAGGUGUUUGGGGAUUCUGCGCUAGUGAUUUAUCAACUUAAGAGAGAAUGGGAGACCAGAGACCCCAAGUUAAUCGAUUAUCGGAAGCUGGUCCUUGAAUUGGUUAAAGAGUUUGAUGACAUUACCUUCCACUACCUUCCACGAAACGAAAAUCAGAUGGCUGAUGCUUUGGCUACCCUAGCCUCCAUGAUCAAGGUGAACAAACAAGAAAAUGUCAAACCCAUCCGGAUGAGCAUUUAUGAAGUUCCGGCCCACUGUUACAAUAUUAAAGAAGACGAAGAGAAAGAUGAUCACCCUUGGUAUCACGAUAUAUUACAAUACGUGAAGAAUCGUGAGUACCCGGACCAGGCAAGCGAGAGUGACAAAAGAACGCUAAGAAUAUUGGCCAUCGACUAUGUCUUAGAUGGGGAUAUCUUGUACAAAAGAAGAAAGGAUCAAGUGCUACUAAGAUGUGUAGACGCUGUAGAGGCUAAGAAAAUCUUGGAAGAAGUCCAUGAAGGUGUCUGUGGGUCACACGCUGAUGGCUUUACAAUGGCCAGGCAAAUUAUGAGAUUCGGGUACUAUUGGUCCACCAUGGAAGGAGACUGUGUCAAUUAUGCCAUGAGAUGCCAUAAAUGUCAAAUCUACGGAGACAAAAUUCAUGUGCCUCCUUCACCGCUGCAUGUUAUGGUUUCUCCAUGGCCAUUCUCUAUGUGGGGCAUGGAUGUAAUUAGACCAAUAUCGCCGAAAGCUUUCAAUGGGCAUCGGUUCAUCUUUGUGGUUAUCGACUACUUCACCAAAUGGGUAGAAACCGCUUCGUAUGCUAGUGUUACAAAGUCAGCAAUGAGCAGGUUCCUGAAAAAAGAGAUCAUAUGUCGAUAUGGAAUGCCGGAGAGGAUCAUAUCUAACAAUGCAUUAAACCUAAACAAUAGUACGAUAGUAGAAGUCUGCAGUCAAUUCAAGAUCAGACAUCACAACUCGUCACCGUAUCGCCCGAAGAUGAAUGGGGUAGUGGAAACAGCCAAUAAAAAUAUUAAGAAGAUUGUCGGGAAGAUGACCGAGACCUACAAAGAUUGGCAUGAGAAAUUACCGUUUGCCCUCUUUGCUUAUCGAAUGUCAGUCAGAACCUCAACCGGGGCAACCCCUUUCUCUUUGGUCUACGGAAUGGAAGCGGUGUUGCCAAUCGAAGUCGAGAUUCCAUCCCUCCGAGUGUUGUCAGAACUAAGGUUGGACGAAGCAGAGUGGGUCCAGUCUCGAUAUGACCAAUUGAACUUGAUCAAGGAAAAAAGGCUAAAAGCUAUUCGUCAUGGUCAGAUGUACCAGAAACGAAUGAUGCGGGCUUAUGACAAAAAUGUUCGCCCUAGAGAAUUCCACGAGGGAGACCUAGUUUUGAAAAAUAUCCUUCCCAUACAUAAGGAUUUUUGAGGGAAAUGGAUGCCUAAUUGGGAAGGGCUUUACGUGGUGAAGAAAGCUUUCUCCGGAGGAGCAUUGAUUCUAGCCGAGAUGGACGGUAAAAACUUGCCCAAUCUUGUAAAUUCAGAUUCGGUCAAGAAGUAUUUUACCUGAAGAAAGAGAGGCCAGAGUGAAAACCCACAAAGGGCGCUCUAAAAAAAUAGAAAAACGGAGAGGUCAAGGUGAAAACUCGCAAAGAGCACUUUGGAACCAAAAGAGUUUUUUUUAGUUGAAAACCCGAGAACGGGCAGCUCAAGUUUUGGAUAUGGGGCAUAUGGUAGUCUUGUCCCCCCGAAAUCAGCAAUACAGAAGAAUAUUACACCUUGGAGCAUCAACAAAAGACGCGGGAUCUCCUGAACACACAUUUGGUUCGAAGGAGCCUUUGAGAAAUUAGAAUAAUGAAACUCGUGUUGCGAUAUCUGGGGCGCCUUUUUCUCAUUUUUUUGCACCUUAUCAGAUUCGUUAUCCUAUGUAUUCACAUCAAAUUUUUGCUUAAUAAAAUUCUAUUUGUCCAUUAUGAUAAUCUCUUUCAAGCAUUCUUGUUGAAAUCGCGAUUUUUGAACAUGUAAUAUUUACACAAAAGAUGUUAUGCAUAUUACUCUGGAAAGUCUUUAAAUAGUACAAGAACCUGAAACAGGGCCACUAGUCAGGACUAACCAGGUUCAAAGGCAGAAGUAUUGGAAAAAGAGUAGUCUAAAUUAGGACUAUUUCUUCAAAUUUCCGUCAGAGAUAACGGCUAAGCAAGAAGACGUGAUAGCACAUCAAUGAUAGAACCCGGACGAAUUAUGAGCAAUGACACCUUAAGUGUUUAAAAAGGAAUCACGCUCAUGACAUUUCUACAUUCAUAAUCAGUCAUUUAGUUAGGAGCACUUGAUCCAUUUCGAUCAUAGCAUUCUAAUUAUUUAACAUAAACACCACAUCUAGUUAGGGACAUUUGAUUCAUCUCGAUCAUAGCACCCUAGUUAUUUGACAUACACAGAUACAGGAAACCAAUUCUACACAUCAUGUCUUUAGAAGACAGUGUAGCGACAUUGGCGAAUCCUGCAGAUUUGGUAUCUCUGUAUUGGCGGAGAGCAGAUCAAAGAUAGUAGAUUUGGCAUCUCUGUAUCGACAGGGAGCAGAUCGAAGAUAGCAGAUUUGGCGUCUCUGUAUUGGCAGAGAGCAGAUUAAAGAUAGCGUAUUUGGCGUCUCUGUAUUGGCGGAGAGCAGAUCGAAGAUAGCAGAUUUGGCGUCUCUAUUUCGGCAGAGAGCAGAUCAAGGAUAGCAGAUUUGGUAUCUCUGUAUUGGCGGAGAGCAGAUCGAAGAUAGCAGAUUUGACGUCUCUGUAUUGGCGGAGAGCAGAUCGAGGAUAGCAGAUUUGGCGUCUCUCUAUUGGCAGAGAGCAGAUCGAAGAUAGCAGAUUUGGCAUCUCUGUGUUGACAUAGAACAGAUCGAAGAUAGCAGAUUUGGCGUCUCUGUAUUGGCAGAGAGCAGAUCGAAAAUAGCAGAUUUGGCAUCUCUGUGUUGACAGAGAGUAGAUCGAAGAUAACAGAUUUGGCAUCUCUGUAUGGGCAGAGAGCAGAUCAAAAAUAACAGAUUGGUGUUCCCGUGUUCUCAAGAAACCAGUUGAGGAUAGCCAAUUUGACACUCCUGAAGACAUCAGAAGACCUUGAGGAAGAUAAGGAUCAAGAUUUUGAGAUUUAGCCAGACUGGGCAAAUUUGGUCCUUUUUAUAGUCUUUGCUUUAUUCUCAUUACACGAUAAUGAACAAAGAGGGACAGCUGUAGUGGGCCAAAUUUGCCCGACCCAAAUAGAUACCAAAUAAUUAAACCAAAAAACAAUGAUAAGUGUAAAACCCAAAUAAAAAUUUAAUGUCCUAUUACAGUCCAAAUUAUUACAAUAUUCCACAGUCCAAAUUACAUGACCCAAAUUUAAAACCUAAACCAAAUACAAUGGCCCAUUAACCAUGACACAAAAUAGGCCCAAUAAGCCCAAUGUUUAAACCGAGAAACCCUAGAAGCUUUCCACUUGCGCCGUAGCAGCCCCCCCAACCUCCAGGUUCCGUACAACGCCUCCAGCAACCACGUCAACAGCCCUCGUACGCCAACACAGUCUCCGUACGAUGCCAACGCAUCCCGUACCUGCAAGAAGGACAAACACAACGACAAAUACAAACAAAAAUGGCAGAACAGCAAAUAGAAGGGAACGAAAAUUGUAUUUGGAAUUUAUUUUUCCUUUUUCUUUUUUCUUUUCGGCUAUAAAAUCUAAGCUGCGAAUCAGUUGUAAAAAAGGAAUAUACACAUAUUGAAUGCAAAGAGCAGAGGUGAUUUCAUACUUUUCUUUCCGAUUUUUUUAUUUUCUUCUUAGUUUACUCAUUGUUAAUGCAUACAACUAAAAACCGAUGAAAGCCAUAAAUAUUUUUGCUAUGCGGAUAUAAUGGCGAGAGGUCAAGUAGCAGUAUUUACUUUACAAAUUUGUUUCCAUUUUUUUAAAAAAAAAUAAUAACGUGAGAUUCGAGCAUUUCAUUCAAACAAAGAAGGAGAGGAGAAAGAUACUUACUAAACCCUUUUAAAACUUGUUCAAGUGUCUUCAACGAGGAAAGCGGGUGCUUUUUGCAUGCAGAUGGUCACCAAAAUAAUGGUGAUUCGGCUGCUAAAUAGAAACCCAAGAAACUUAGUUCCCAGGCUGUGUUUUUCAGCUACAAGUGGGGCUGUGUUUUAGGGAAGAAGCAGAAAAAAAAUGGUCUUAAAUGACCUAAUUUUGAAACGGUGCCGUGUCAUAAAGGGAGGGGUCCACGCCUCUACCCGAUUGGAGACCCGACUCCACCCUUGUGCGCCUAAAUUGGGUU